rnacentral:SRP_RNA from 1 species
ACCGGGGCGGUAGCGGUGCCCUGUACUUGCAAUCCGCUAUAGCAAGGGUUAUGUCUUUUAUGAGGGUUAUUCUUUGUGCGGUCUUGCGCAUUGCAAGUGGUGUUGAGAGCAAGGUCUUACGCAAUACACAGCUGUGAACCCGGUCAGGUGGGGAACCAAGCAGCCGUAAGCAGUUUUGCUGUAUGUGCCGUAAGCGCUCCUUGUUUGAGCUAACUGCAAUGCAGCGCGCGGA